rnacentral:rRNA from 1 species
UUUAGUUUUGUUGGGCAUUCGGUGGAUGCCUUGGCAUCAAGAGCUGAUGAAGGACGUUGCGGCCUGCGAUAUGCCUCGGGGAGUUGGCGAGCGAGCGUUAUUAUCCGAGGGUGUCCGAAUGGGGGAACCUAACCUGGGUUGUGCUGGGUUACCAUCAUCUGAACGUGUAUAGGGUGGUGGGGGGAACGCGGGGAAGUGAAACAUCUUAGUACCCGUAGGAGAAGAUAUUCCGUGAGUAGUGGCGAGCGAAAGCGGAGGAGGCUAAACCAGAUGCGUGUGAGAGGCGGCGGCUGUUGCGUGUUUGGUGUUGUGGGGCCAUGUUGGAUCCUUCUGCCGGGGGGUCGCAUUGCAUGUUGUUGGGAGUUGAACAGUCUGGGAUGGCUGACCGUAGAGCGUGAGAGUCGUGUAGGUGGACCGGUGGCGUGUGGUGUGGAUGUGGUGCCCGAGUAGUGCGGGACUCGUGAAAUCUCGUGUGAAUCUGCCAAGACCACUUGGUAAGCCUAAAUACUACUUGAUGACCGAUAGUGCAUAGUACCGUGAGGGAAUGGUGAAAAGUACCCCGGGAGGGGAGUGAAAUAGUACCUGAAACCGUGUGCCUGUAAGCCGUCAGAGCCUUGUGGGGUGAUGGCGUGCCUUUUGAAGAAUGAGCCUGCGAGUUAGUGAUACGUGGCGUGCUUAACCCGUGUGGGGUAUGCGUAGCGAAAGCGAGUCUGAAAGAUGGCGUUUGUCGCGUGUUCUAGACCCGAAGCGGGGUGAUCUACCCAUGGCCAGGUUGAAGCAAGGGUAAGACUUUGUGGAGGACCGAACCCACCAGGGUUGAAAACCUGGGGGAUGAGCUGUGGGUAGGGGUGAAAGGCCAAUCAAACUCCGUGAUAGCUGGUUCUCCCCGAAAUGCAUUUAGGUGCAGCGUUGCGUGGUCCCUGGUGGAGGUAGAGCUACUGGAUGGCCGAUGGGCCCUGUGGGUUACUGACGUCAGCCAAACUCCGAAUGCCAUUAGGUGUAGCGUGGCAGUGAGACUGCGGGGGAUAAGCUUCGUAGUCGAGAGGGAAACAGCCCAGAUCAUCAGCUAAGGCCCCUAAGCGUGCGCUAAGUGGGAAAGGAUGUGGAGUCGCGGUGACAACCAGGAGGUUGGCUUAGAAGCAGCCAUCCUUGAAAGAGUGCGUAAUAGCUCACUGGUCAAGUGGUUCUGCGCCGACAAUGUAGCGGGGCUCAAGCGUACCGCCGAAGCUGUGGCAGCAACACGUGUGGCUGGCGCCAGUUUAUUGGUUGUUGGUGUGUUGUUGGGUAGGGGAGCGUCCUGCAUGAGGUGAAGCCUGGAGGUGACUUCUGGUGGAUUGUGUGGGAGUGAGAAUGCAGGCAUGAGUAACGAAUCUGCGGUGAGAAUCCGCAGCGCCGAUUGACUAAGGGUUCCAGGGCUAGGUUUAUCCGCCCUGGGUUAGUCGGGUCCUAAGGCGAGGCCGACAGGCGUAGUCGAUGGACAACCAGUUGAUAUUCUGGUACCGCGUUAUGACCGCCCAUGCUGAAGUCAUUGUGCUAACCAAUUUGCUCACGCCGCCACUAAGCCUUCGGGUUUGUUGGUGUGUGUGGGUCUUGGGGUCCCGGUGAUUGUAGGCAAGCGUGUUAACAGGGGUGACGCAGACAGGUAACUGCAGUGCGCCGAUGGUUGUGCGUAUUUAAGGUUGUGGCCCGCCCUUCAGGUAAAUCCGGGGGGCAUAGUGGGUGAGGGCUGAUGAGGGACACACGUGUGUGUGGACUUGUGGUGAUCCUAUGCUGCCGAGAAAAGCCUCGACGUGAGGGCAUGACGCGCCCGUACCCUAAACCGACUCAGGUGGUCAGGUAGAGUAUACCGAGGCGUUCGAGUGAAUCGUGGUUAAGGAACUCGGCAAAAUUCCUCCGUAACUUCGGGAUAAGGAGGACCCCGUGACUUGCUCCCACCGUGCGUGGGUGUUGGGUUGUGGGGUCGCAGAGAAUAGGGAGAAGCGACUGUUUAUCAAAAACACAGGUGCGUGCGAAGCCGUAAGGCGAUGUAUACGCACUGACGCCUGCCCGGUGCUGGAAGGUUAAGAGGAACCGUCAACACUCCUUUGGGGUGUGAAGCGGUGAAUUUAAGCCCCAGUAAACGGCGGUGGUAACUAUAACCAUCCUAAGGUAGCGAAAUUCCUUGUCGGGUAAGUUCCGACCUGCACGAAUGGCGUAACGACUUCUC